AGGUGGUGGAAAGUUUUUUCGGUACGAGAUGAGCCCGCGGCCUAUCAGCUUGUUGGUGGGGUAAUGGCCUACCAAGGCGUCGACGGGUAGCCGGCCUGAGAGGGUGGACGGCCACAUUGGGACUGAGAUACGGCCCAGACUCCUACGGGAGGCAGCAGUGGGGAAUAUUGCACAAUGGGCGCAAGCCUGAUGCAGCGACGCCGCGUGAGGGAUGACGGCCUUCGGGUUGUAAACCUCUUUCGACAGGGACGAAGCUUUUUGUGACGGUACCUGUAUAAGAAGCACCGGCUAACUACGUGCCAGCAGCCGCGGUAAUACGUAGGGUGCGAGCGUUGUCCGGAAUUACUGGGCGUAAAGAGCUCGUAGGUGGUUUGUCGCGUCGUCUGUGAAAUUCCGGGGCUUAACUCCGGGCGUGCAGGCGAUACGGGCAUAACUUGAGUGCUGUAGGGGAGACUGGAAUUCCUGGUGUAGCGGUGGAAUGCGCAGAUAUCAGGAGGAACACCGAUGGCGAAGGCAGGUCUCUGGGCAGUAACUGACGCUGAGGAGCGAAAGCAUGGGGAGCGAACAGGAUUAGAUACCCUGGUAGUCCAUGCCGUAAACGGUGGGCGCUAGGUGUGAGGGUCUUCCACGACUUUCGUGCCGUAGCUAACGCAUUAAGCGCCCCGCCUGGGGAGUACGGCCGCAAGGCUAAAACUCAAAGGAAUUGACGGGGGCCCGCACAAGCGGCGGAGCAUGUGGAUUAAUUCGAUGCAACGCGAAGAACCUUACMUGGGCUUGACAUAUCUCAG
rnacentral:rRNA from 1 species